rnacentral:rRNA from 1 species
UACGAGUGCCUCAAGCGUUAUCCGGAAUUAUUGGGCGUAAAGGUUGUGUAGGUGGUUGCGUUAGUCUUCUGUUAAAUUCUUCGGCUUAACCGGGGGCAUGCAGAAGAAACGGCGCGACUAGAGGAUGCAAGGGGUCUGCGGAACUCAUAGUGUAGCGGUGAAAUGCGUUGAUAUUAUGGGGAACACCAAAAGCGAAGGCAGCAGACUGGGGCACUCCUGACACUGAGACAAGAAAGCGUGGGUAGCGAAUGGG